UACGGGGGGGGUAAGCGUUGUUCGGAUUCAUUGGGCGUAAAGGGUGCGUAGGUGGCGAGGCAAGUCAGAUGUGAAAUCCCGGGGCUCAACCCCGGAACUGCAUUUGAAACUGCCUUGCUCGAGUACUGGAGAGGAGACUGGAAUUUACGGUGUAGCAGUGAAAUGCGUAGAUAUCGUAAGGAAGACCAGUGGCGAAGGCGAGUCUCUGGACAGUUACUGACACUGAGGCACGAAGGCCAGGGGAGCAAACGGG
rnacentral:rRNA from 1 species